GGGGGAAGAAGAAAAGAGGAUGCCAGUCCUUGUUCCUAGGCCAAGACCUGAGCCCUGUAAUAUUAAUAUUUGGAUCUAAAAUCAGCCUUCCAACAGCAACAUGAAGUUGGCAGCCUUCCUCCUCCUGUGAUCCUCAUCAUCUUCAGCCUAGAGGUACAAGAGCUUCAGGCUGCAGGAGACCGGCUUUUGGGUGUCUGACCCUUCUCAACACAGCAUCAGACAGCCACCUCUAUUGACUGAAGUUGACAAUGGAGAAUAAAACUCAUUACCCCUGCUGAAUCCAGGGGCCCCUUUUUACAGAUGAGAAAAGUUCCAGAAAGACCCAGAGACAUAAUCAGGUACCUGCGUCGAGCUCUGCACAGGUGACUGGGACUGCAACCCCGGAGACCACUGUGUCAGCAAUGGGUGUGGCCAUGAGUGUGUUGCAGGAUGAAGAGUUAUCUUAAGGAUCAUCUUUCCCUAAGAUCGUCAUCCCUUCCUGGAGUUCCUAUCUUCCAAGAUGUGACUGUCUGGAGUUCCUUGACUAGGAAGAUGGAUGAAAACAGCAAGCCUGUGGAUGGAGACUACAGGGGAUAUGGGAGGCAGGGAAGAGGGGUUGUUUCUUUUAAUAAAUCAUCAUUGUUAAAAGCA
rnacentral:lncRNA from 1 species